rnacentral:rRNA from 1 species
AGUGAACGCUGGCGGCAUGCCUAACACAUGCAAGUCGAACGAGCGGAGGACGGGUGAAUAAUGUCGGGGAAACUGCCUAAUGGAGGGGGUUAACUACGGGAAACGUUAGCUAAUACCGCAUACCAUCAGAUGUGCCCGGUUGGGAGUAGCGAGUAGGUGGGGUAAGGGCUCACCUAGGCGACGAUCCCUAGCUGAUCUGCGAGGAUGACCGGCCACACUGGAACUGUGACAAGGUCCAGACUCCUACGGGAGGCAGCAGUGGGGAAUAUUGGACAAUGGGCGAAAGUCUGAUGCAGCACUGCCGCGUGUGUGAAGAGGGCUUUCGGGUUGUAAAGCACGUUCAGAGAGGAGGCGUUACCCAAACAAGAAGCCACGGCUAACUACGUGCCAGCAGCCGCGGUAAUAC